rnacentral:rRNA from 1 species
AGUUUGAUCCUGGCUCAGGAUGAACGCUAGCGGCAGGCCUAACACAUGCAAGUCGAGGGGUAUAGUUCUUCGGAACUAGAGACCGGCGCACGGGUGCGUAACGCGUAUGCAAUCUACCUUUUACAGGGGAAUAGCCCAGAGAAAUUUGGAUUAAUGCCCCAUAGUGUUAUAGAAUCGCAUGGUUUUAUAACUAAAGUUCCAACGGUAAAAGAUGAGCAUGCGUCCCAUUAGUUAGUUGGUAAGGUAACGGCUUACCAAGACAAUGAUGGGUAGGGGUCCUGAGAGGGAGAUCCCCCACACUGGUACUGAGACACGGACCAGACUCCUACGGGAGGCAGCAGUGAGGAAUAUUGGACAAUGGGCGCAAGCCUGAUCCAGCCAUGCCGCGUGCAGGAAGACGGUCCUAUGGAUUGUAAACUGCUUUUUGUACAGGAAGAAACACUCCCUCGUGAGGGAGCUUGACGGUACUGUAAGAAUAAGGAUCGGCUAACUCCGUG